UACAGAGGUCCCGAGCGUUGUUCGGAUUCACUGGGCGUAAAGGGUGCGUAGGUGGCCGGGUAAGUUUGGUGUGAAAGCUCGGAGCUCAACUCCGAAGAGUCAUUAAAUACUAUCCGGCUGGAGGGUCGGAGGGGAGACUGGAAUUCUCGGUGUAGCAGUGAAAUGCGUAGAGAUCGAGAGGAACACCAGUGGCGAAGGCGAGUCUCUGGACGACACCUGACACUGAGGCACGAAAGCUAGGGGAG
rnacentral:rRNA from 1 species